AUUGAACGCUGGCGGCAGGCCUAACACAUGCAAGUCGAGCGAGCGGAGGACGGGCGAGUAAUGUAUGGGGAUCUGCCCGACCGAGGGGGAUAACUAGUGGAAACGGUGGAUAAUACCGCAUACUACCGGAUCAGCCGAUAGGGGAUUAGCUAGUAGGUGGGGUAAAGGCUCACCUAGGGGACGAUCCCUAGCUGGUCUGAGAGGAUGAUCAGCCACACUGGGACUGAGACACGGCCCAGACUCCUACGGGAGGCAGCAGUGGGGAAUAUUGCACAAUGGGCGCAAGCCUGAUACAGCCAUGCCGCGUGUAUGAAGAAGGCCUUAGGAUUGUAAAGUACUGUCAGCGGGGAAGCGUUACCCGCAGAAGAAGCACCGGCUAACUCCGUGCCAGCCGCCGCGGUAAUAC
rnacentral:rRNA from 1 species